rnacentral:tRNA from 1 species
AUCUUUAGCUCAGUUGGCUAGAGCGCACGAUUCACAUUCGUGAGGUCGCAGGUUCGAAUCCUGCAAGAUCC